UGUUCCUGUUUGAACGAGUCGGACCCGACAACCUGCUGCUGCUGCUUCACAAACACUAACUACACAACAUGUCAGGACGAUAUUAUCCCGACAUUUGUGUGAAAACCUGACCCACCUGCAGAAUGUCCUCCUCCGAGUCACAUGACAGCAGUUUUCCCAGUCUGGUGUCUGGGAACUUCUUCAGCGCGGUGGAGCACAGGCUCCUCUUCAGGCCUCCGACAUUCACAUGGAUCAGACCCUCGUCAGAGUCCCGGUGGACCCAGCGGGGCACGCUCUCCUUCACCAUGGUUACCGACUGUGGAGGGGAAAAGACGCAACUCAGUGAGACCAUGUGGCCCCUCCCCCUGGUCGAUGAAGGAGCCAUGCUGAGGCCUCAGGGAGCCGCCUGCUGCUCACACAGAAAUAAAGUUGAUCUAUAAUUCAGCACGAGGAAGCUCAGCGGCUUGAAAUCUCAGCGGUGGAGAGAAGAAGAAAAACACACCUUCGAUAACAAACUCCCUUCGACACCCGAACAUGACGCAACUUCACUUCACUCCAGACAAAAGAAAUCUGUUCUCGCUCGGGUCCAGUUUGAGAUUUUGGCUUCAUGUUUUCUUUCAGACGAGAGGAAAUAAAAUAUUCAAAGUG